UUAUCCAUGCGAAAUCUUAACUCUCAAUCGGUUCUCUUUCUCCUUUCCGGUGAGCGAUGUUACAACCACCGUCGACGUAACCAGUACACUCUAAGGUCCCAAUUUGGCUGGUACUAGACACCACUUGGUUGGAAUCUUCAUAAUAAAAAUAUGGAGCUUUUGUUGUCAAAAAAAUAGUGGAUAAUUUGAAGAUCAUCGGUGCCAGAAAUUCUAUAUCAGUGGUGGCGGGUAAAUGCAAUUUAAUUGAACAGCUGAAGUCUGGUUAUGUAGCGUGUAUGAAUAAUAUAUGUAUAAGAAAUAAAAUAUUAUAUUCUUCAUUUGAUAACUAUAUAGUAUAGUAUGUAACAAUAUUUCAUAUGAUUUCAUGUUUUGACAACUAAAUAGCAUAUAUGUUGAAAAAGUAUGAAAUGUGUUCAUAAACCGUC
rnacentral:lncRNA from 1 species